UGAAUACGAGACGCUAAGGCGUUGAAGUAGUGUAUGUCAUACUUCCAAGAAAAGCUUGCACUGUCAUAGAUAAAAAACGCCUGUACCAUAACCGACACAGGUGGGUAGGUAGAGUAUACUAAGGGGCGCGAGAUAACUCUCUCUAAGGAACUCGGCGAAAUAACUCCGUAACUUCGGGAGAAGGAGUGCCUUAUUUAUAAGGCUGCAAUAACAAGAUCCAAGCAACUGUUUAUCAAAAACACAGGUCUCCGCUAAGUCGUAAGACGAUGUAUGGGGGCUGACGCCUGCCCAGUGCCAGAAGGUUAAAGAAGUUGGUUAGCAAUAGCGAAGCUGAUAACUGAAGCCCUGGUGAACGGCGGCCGUAACGAUAACGGUCCUAAGGUAGCGAAAUUCCUUGUCGGGUAAGUUCCGACCCGCACGAAAGGCGUAAUGAUUUGGAUACUGUCUCGGAGAGGGGCUCGGUGAAAUAGACUUGUCUGUGAAGAUGCGGACUACCUGCACCAGGACAGAAAGACCCUAUGAAGCUUUACUGUAACUUGAAAUUGAAAUUUGACUUUAUUCGCGCAGUAUAGGUGGGAGGCGUUGAUUGUAAUCUUGCGGGAUUAUUGGAGCCAUCAGUGAGAUACCACCCUUGUAAUGUUAGAUUUCUAACUUUGAAUCAUUAUCUGGUCAAAGAACAGUUUCAGGCGGGCAGUUUGACUGGGGCGGUCGCCUCCUAAACGGUAACGGAGGCGUACAAAGGUUUCCUCUGAACGGUUAGAAAUCGUAUCUAGAGUGUAAAGGCAUAAGGAAGCUUGACUGUGAGACCUACAAGUCGAGCAGGGACGAAAGUCGGUCUUAGUGAUCUGACGGUACUGAGUGGAAAGGCCGUCACUCAACGGAUAAAAGUUACUCUAGGAUAACAGGCUGAUCUCCCCCAAGAGUUCACAUCGACGGGGAGGUUUGGCACCUCGAUGUCGGCUCAUCGCAUCCUGGGGCGGUAGUACGUCUCAAGGGUUGGGCUGUUCGCCCAUGAAAGCGGUACGCGAGCUGGGUUCAGAACGUCGUGAGACAGUUCGGUCCAUAUCCGGUGUAGGCGUUAGAAUAUUGAGAGGAGCCUUCUUUAGUACGAGAGGACCGAGAAGGACAUACCUCUGGUGUACCAGUUAUCGUGCCAACGGUAAACGCUGGGUAGCUAUGUAUGGAGUGGAUAACCGCUGAAAGCAUCUAAGUGGGAAGCCCACCUCAAGAUAAGUAUUCUC
rnacentral:rRNA from 1 species